GACGAACGCUGGCGGCGUGCUUAACACAUGCCAGUCGAACGAAGAGCGAUGGAAGCUUGCUUCUAUCAAUCUUAGUGGCGCACGGGUGAGUAACGCGUAAUCAACCUGCCCUUCAGAGGGGGACAACAGUUGGAAACGACUGCUAAUACCGCAUACGAUCUAAUCUCGGCAUCGAGGAUAGAUGAAAGGUGGCCUCUACAUGUAAGCUAUCACUGAAGGAGGGGAUUGCGUCUGAUUAGCUAGUUGGAGGGGUAACGGCCCACCAAGGCGAUGAUCAGGAGCCGGUCUGAGAGGAUGAACGGCCACAUUGGGACUGAGACACGGCCCAGACUCCUACGGGAGGCAGCAGUGGGGAAUCUUCCGCAAUGGACGAAAGUCUGACGGAGCAACGCCGCGUGAGUGAUGACGGCCUUCGGGUUGUAAAGCUCUGUUAAUCGGGACGAAAGGCCUUCUUGCGAACAGUUAGAAGGAUUGACGGUACCGGAAUAGAAAGCCACGGCUAACUACGUG
rnacentral:rRNA from 1 species